rnacentral:misc_RNA from 1 species
GGAUAAAGGCUUAGUUGAGUUGAGCUGAGUUGUAUGUCAAUUAAUGAAACUAAGAUUCCAUAACAAAAAGAAAGACAUUGUUUUGGGUCCAGUCAGUCAAAAGGUGUUCAUACCAUUUGAAGAAAUACAGAAACCCAAACAAUCCCUUUCUUCUUAUAUCACCCUCAAGCACUACUUAGAGACAAUCUAGCCUCACUAAAUCAAGCUGUCAACAAAAAUUCACUAUGAUCCAUAUUAAAGACCCUGAAUGACUUUAAUUUCUACUAUACUGCCACCAAGAACUUAUAAUAAUCAGUAAAAACAUAAAACAAAUGAUUCAAUAGUUCUAAUAGGAAUCUAUAUUAAAAUUGCUAUGCUCAAACAAAUUAAGAUGUCAAAAGAAGGCCAGCCUAACAGAAAUUGCUGCCAAUCAAUAAUCCAAAUAUUUAGGGCAUUGAGUUGUCAACACAUAAAGGGAAGUAUGAAUCAGCAUUGGAAUUUGGAACCAGCACCCCCUUAUUUUUCAGCACAUCUAAAAACCAUCACCAUUAUGACUUUUUUGGAGCUAAUGAUCUAAUAGUUAGCUACAACUGAGAUUUUACUGAAAAGUGCAUCAUGUUUGGAAAGUUUUAUUAUUGAAUUUACCUAUUUUAAUCUUUAUGGGCAUCUAAAAAAGCUAAAAGCAGUUAAAGAACAACUAAUCCUUCUUCCAAAAGGAUUAAAAAGUUGUAAAAUCGAAUUAUGGUAAGCCUUUUCUAGUUACAAUUUGAGUAAAUGACUUGGAAGGCAAUACAAAAAAAUCAACAGAUACUGUUAAGAGCAAGUAAGAUAAGCAAUUCAAGAAAAUAUGCACAAAAUAAAAUCCACAUCAACAAAUUAAAACCAUAAAUUGUAAAGCAAAAAGAUUCAAUCAUGCUUACUCAUAAUUACUUAUAAGCAUGCUUAAAAAAAAUAACAGUAAUUUAACUAUUUACAUGCAAUCAUGGGUAAGCAACUAUUACCCAUCAAAUCAAGGAGGAAAAAAACCUACUUUAAGCACGAAAAGAGUAGAAGGAAUUGCUAUCUGAACAAAAUGUAAAUGGCUCGCAGGAAAUGAAGGCAAAGACCUAAAAAGAGGGAGAAAAAAUCGUCCUAAGAAAGGAAGAAGAAGAAAACGGCAAUCGCUACUAUCAAACGGCGCCGCUUUGGGUUAAGCGCAUAUGUGAACGGAAUGGGAAAAGGCUGUGGCGUAUGGACAAAAGAGAA